CCUACGGGCGGCUACGAUGAUACAGAACCUUGUCUAUGAAGAUACCCUUGAUGUCACUGAGCUGCUUGAUAAAAGUGAGGAUGAACUCUUUCGCAUUGCAGAGGGGAACAUCAAACAUGAGGUUGCUCCCAUACACGAGGUGAUAAAGCAAACCCUUGCAGAAAUCGAGGAGCUGGGCAAGAAGGAGGAUGCCCUGGUAGGGGUUCCGUCGGGGUUCACCAAGCUUGACAGGCUCACCUCCGGAUGGCAGAAGUCUGAACUGGUAAUCAUUGCCGCCAGACCCUCGAUGGGAAAAACCGCUUUUGCUCUCACGAUGGCACGCAACAUGGCCAUAGACCAUGGCAGGAAGGUUGCAAUCUUCUCGCUUGAGAUGUCAGCAAUACAGCUUGUAAACAGGCUUAUUGUGUCUGAGACCGAGAUACCCGAGUAGUC
rnacentral:rRNA from 1 species